UUGAAGAGUGAAGUGGGGAAAUGUUCCAUGUGAACAUCACUUGGACAUGGGUUAGUCGAUCCUAAGAGAUGGGGACUACUUGUGUCAAGGGUUCACUCUUCAUGAACAUCGAAACAUAAUUGGGUUAAUAUUCCCGAACUGGGACAUGGUGGUGGACGACAAUGUUAGGAAAUCUGGAGAUGUCAUCGGGAGCCUGGGAAGAGUUAUCUUUUAUUUUUAACGACUUUCCCACCCUGAAAUUAGUUCAACCAGAGAUAAUAUCCAACAUCUAGAAGAGAACCACACAUCUUGCAAUGUUUGGUGCCCCCCGACGGCCAUUGAAAAUAUGGAGAACCGAGUACCAUCCAUGCCCGAUCAUACACAUAUAUGCCUCCUUGGAUUUUUCAAUGCCC
rnacentral:ncRNA from 1 species